GCUUCUAAUAAGACGUUUAUUUUUUUAAGUGGGUGCGGGGUGCUGCCGUCGGGGGGAGGAGGGCAGACGGACAGAAAGGUGGACACGAUUUGGGGGUGUCGAGGGAAUUAACUGAGGGCGAGGGCAGGCGGAGGGGAAGGAAGGCAGGAGAGGGAGGAGCGCCAGAGUCGGUCCGCGGGGCUGGGAGCCGGGUUAGGGUUAGGGGGCGGAGGAUCCCGCUUCCCAGCAGCAGAGGGCGCCCCUCUCUCCCGUGUCCAGCCGGCUGGGGUUGGGGAGAGGAGAGGCUGCUAAGGCACGAGCGGCUCCUGCCACGUAUUCCUCCCGGCCGCGGCGGUGAGGCAGGAAGCCGAGGUGUUCACCCAGAAAGCGGCAAGUCCUAAAGCGAAGGAGCGAGACCAUUCUCAACAGCCCUCUCUGGGAAAGCUUUCCGGGGUCCUCUGGAAAGGAUGAGGCAGCUCAAAGGGAAACCCAAAAAGGAGACUUCCAGAGAUAAGAAGGAGCGCAAGCAAGCCAUGCAGGAAGCCCGGCAGCAGAUCACCACCGUCGUGCUGCCCACGCUGGCUGUGGUGGUGGU
rnacentral:lncRNA from 1 species